rnacentral:rRNA from 1 species
AGUGAACGCUGGCGGUAGGCCUAACACAUGCAAGUCGAACGGCAGCACAGUAAGAGCUUGCUCUUACGGGUGGCGAGUGGCGGACGGGUGAGGAAUACAUCGGAAUCUACUUUUUCGUGGGGGAUAACGUAGGGAAACUUACGCUAAUACCGCAUAAGACCUACGGGUGAAAGCAGGGGAUCUUCGGACCUUGCGCGAUUGAAUGAGCCGAUGUCGGAUUAGCUAGUUGGCGGGGUAAAGGCCCACCAAGGCGACGAUCCGUAGCUGGUCUGAGAGGAUGAUCAGCCACACUGGAACUGAGACACGGUCCAGACUCCUACGGGAGGCAGCAGUGGGGAAUAUUGGACAAUGGGCGCAAGCCUGAUCCAGCCAUACCGCGUGGGUGAAGGAGGCCUUCGGGUUGUAAAGCCCUUUUGUUGGGAAAGAAAAGCAGCAGGUUAAUACCCCGCUGUUCUGACGGUACCCAAAGAAUAAGCACCGGCUAACUUCGUG